rnacentral:misc_RNA from 2 species
GCGGAGGAAAAGAAACCAACAGGGAUUGCCUCAGUAACGGCGAGUGAAGCGGCAACAGCUCAAAUUUGAAAUCUGGCUCCUUCGGGGCCCGAGUUGUAAUUUGCAGAGGAUGCUUCGGGUACGGGUUCCUUCCGAGUUCCCUGGAACGGGACGCCAUAGAGGGUGAGAGCCCCGUCUGGUAGGACACCCAGCCCGUGUGAAGCUCCCUCGACGAGUCGAGUAGUUUGGGAAUGCUGCUCUAACGGGAGGUAUACUCCUUCCAAGGCUAAAUACCGGCUGGAGACCGAUAGCGCACAAGUAGAGUGAUCGAAAGAUGAAAAGCACUUUGAAAAGAGAGUCAAAUAGCACGUGAAAUUGUUGAAAGGGAAGCGCUCGCUACCAGACAUGGGUUCGGCGGUUCAACCGGGGCCACGCCCCGGGGCACUCCGCCGGCCCAGGCCAGCAUCAGCUUUCCGUCGGGGGCAAAGGCGUCGGGAAUGUGGCUCUCCUUCGGGGGAGUGUUAUAGCCCGGCGUGUCAUACCCUUCGGGGGGCUGAGGUACGCGCUUCUGCAAGGAUGCUGGCGUAAUGGUAGCUAGUGACCCGUCUUGAAACACGGACCAAGGAGUCAACCUUAUGUGCGAGUGCCCGGGCGUAAAACCCCAGCGCGGAAUGAAAGUGAACGUAGGUGAGAGCUUCGGCGCAUCACCGACCGAUCCUGAUGUCCUCGGACGGAUUUGAGUGAGAGCAUAUAGGGUUGGACCCGAAAGAAGAUGAACUAUGCGUGUGUAGGGUGAAGCCAGAGGAAACUCUGGUGGAGGCUCGCAGCGGUUCUGACGUGCAAAUCGA